rnacentral:sRNA from 1 species
UUUUAGACCUGAUUGAAAUGGAAAGCCCGCAGCGCAGCGAGGACUUGUAAUGAAAAGCAGGAACAAAC